rnacentral:rRNA from 1 species
UUUGAACGAAGGCUGCGAGAUCUGAGACNUUCGAGCUANAAGAAANGGACGGAACCGUCUGACGCCCUCGGGAAUCAGUCGAACGACGCGCGAACGCGUCUCGAUCGUCGGAGCGUAAAAGUCCGGCUCGAGGCGUCUAGUAGUCGCGUUCGUAAGGCGCAUUUCUCGAGGGUUAGCGCCGCGACCGAUGCGAACGGCCGACGACGCCGGCGAGUUGAGGUCGAACGCCCUUCGCGGGUAUUCGUAACCAGCUCGUUCGGUAGAUAUUGUCGGAUCUCUAUUAAUUAAGCAUCGAGCGAAUGACUAUCAAAUACGUCGGCGUAAAACGCUCGACGAGCGGGGGAGAUUCGGCCGGUCUUACGGUACGUGCUCGCGGGUUCUCGUUCGGCGCGGGAUCUUUUCCCGAUGACCCCUUGGACGCUACCGCGUCUAAGGCGUCCGCGGGGCCCGAGUCGCCCCCCCGUCCUGAUUGGUGUUGAAACCCGUAUGAUGGAGUCUAAGCGUUAGAGCUAAGAUUUUGCCCUGCCAAAGGCUGUAUCCGGGAAAAAGGGAAAAGGUGGUGCCCCUGACUGCCGAGGGGCGGUUCCGUGCGUUUCCCGGCGGGGGGUGGGGUUUGGCCGUGGACUGUACAGGAGGCUGUUGUGGUUUUAAUUAUUAAGACCCUUCCGCUUGCGGUGAGGUUACUAAUGGGUGACGUUUUCGUGGGCUGGGGGUGGCCCAGUGUAAAGUAUGUGUGGGGUGGGCGCAAUCGGUUCCCGUGGUUCUCGUGCUGCGGGUUUGGUCUUGGAUGAGGUGAGCUUUAUUCAGUUUUGA